rnacentral:pre_miRNA from 1 species
UCGCGCCUGUAUCUUGCUGAACCGCUGCCAUCAUGGCCAACGAUCCGGUUGAGCAAAAUUUCAGGUGUGUGA